rnacentral:rRNA from 1 species
GAUGAACGCUGGCGGCGUGCCUAAUACAUGCAAGUCGAGCGAACAGACGAGGAGCUUGCUCCUCUGACGUUAGCGGCGGACGGGUGAGUAACACGUGGAUAACGUACCUAUAAGACUGGGAUAACUUCGGGAAACCGGAGAUAAUACCGGAUAAUAAAUUGAACCGCAUGGUUCAAUAGUGAAAGACGGUUUUGCUGUCACUUAUAGAUGGAUCCGCGCCGCAUUAGCUAGUUGGUAAGGUAACGGCUUACCAAGGCAACGAUGCGUAGCCGACCUGAGAGGGGGAUCGCCCACACUGGAACUGGGACACGGUCCAAACUCCUACGGAAGGCAGCAGUGGGGAAUCUUCCGCAAUGGGCGAAAGCCUAACGGAGCAACGCCACGUAAGUAAUAAAGGUCUUCGGAUCUUAAAACUCUGUUAUUGGGGAGAAACAAUUGUGUAAGUAACUAUGCACAUCUUGACGGUACCUAAUCAGAAAGCCACGGCUAACUACGUG